rnacentral:lncRNA from 1 species
UAAAACCCAUCGAACAUAAUGAUCCAACGUCAUCUCCCAAUUUUGGAUUCCUUGUAUUCGAAGCAGAGGAAGAUGAUGUUGAAGGGGAUUCCUGACGAGAUUACCCAUCUUCUUGAGUACGAAAAGAAGAUCAUUCAGCUGUAUCUUGAGAAUCAGCAAACAGUCAGACUGGGGCAUUACAAAUGUAAUGUAAAAAAAAAAGGUGAAAAAAUAAAA